rnacentral:rRNA from 1 species
AGAAAUCCGGGCCUCAUAAACUCUGAGACGUGAUACCGAGCCGCUUCAGGCGAAGUCAUUGAUCCUAUGCUGCCUAGAAAAGCCCAGCAGCGAGUUGACAUGGUGCCCGUACCCCAAACCAACACAGGUGGACAGGUAGAGCAUACCAAGGCGAGUGGGAUAACUAUGGUUAAGGAACUCGGCAAAUUGCCUCCGUAACUUCGGGAGAAGGAGGACCCCAGUAGCGUGAUGAGACUUGCUCUCUGAGCGUGAAGGGGUGGCACAAAAUUGAGGGAAGCGACUGUUUACCAAAAACACAGCAGCGUGCUAAGCCGUAAGGCGCUGUAUACGCUGUGACUCCUGCCCGGUGCUGGAAGGUUACGGGGAUGGGUUAGUCCUUCGGGACGAAGCUCUGAACCUAAGCCCCAGUAAACGGCGGCCGUAACUAUAACGGUCCUAAGGUAGCGAAAUUCCCUGUCGGGUAAGUUCCGACCUGCGCGAAUGGAGUAACGACUUCCCUACUGUCUCAACCAUAGACCCAGCGAAAUUGAAGUACGAGUAAAGAUGCUCGUUAGCUGCAGAAGGACGGAAAGACCCCGUGGACCUUUACUAUAACUUGAUGUUGUGUUUUGUCAUAUGUUGUGUAGGAUAGGUGGGAGACUUGGAAGCAUGGACGCUAGUCUGUGUGGAGUCAUCGUUGAAAUACCACCCUGCAUAUGGUGAGGCUCUAACCUAGACCCGUUAUCCGGGUUGGGGACAGCGUCAGGCGGGUAGUUUAACUGGGGCGGUUGCCUCCUAAAGAGUAACGGAGGCGCCCAAAGGUUCCCUCAGCCUGGUUGGCAAUCAGGCGUUGAGUGCAAUGGCAAAAGGGAGCUUGACUGCGAGACCUACAAGUCGAGCAGGAGCGAAAGCUGGGCAUAGUGAUCCGGCGGUUGCGUGUGGAAGCGCCGUCGCUCAACGGAUAAAAGGUACCCCGGGGAUAACAGGCUAAUCUUGCCCAAGCGUCCAUAGCGACGGCAAGGUUUGGCACCUCGAUGUCGGCUCAUCGCAUCCUGGGGCUGAAGCAGGUCCCAAGGGUUGGGCUGUUCGCCCAUUAAGGCGGUACGCGAGCUGGGUUCAGAACGUCGUGAGACAGUUCGGUCCCUAUCCUCUGCAGCCGGAGGUGAAUUGAGGAAAGCUGUCCCUAGUACGAGAGGACCGGGACGGACGCAGCUCUCGUGUGCCAGUUGUCCUGCCAAGGGCAUGGCUGGUUAGCGACCUGCGGAAAGGAUAACCGCUGAAAGCAUCUAAGCGGGAAGCCUCUUCCAAGAUGAAUUCACCCACAGGGUUAACCUGGUAAGGCCCGUGGUAGACCACCACGUUGAUAGGCCGGAAGUGUAAGCGUGGCAACACGUUCAGCUGACCGGUACUAAUCGGCCGAGGGCUUGAGUC